UUUUCCACCGGAGCUUGCUCCACCGGAAAAAGAAGAGUGGCGAACGGGUGAGUAACACGUGGGUAACCUGCCCAUCAGAAGGGGAUAACACUUGGAAACAGGUGCUAAUACCGUAUAACAAUCGAAACCGCAUGGUUUUGAUUUGAAAGGCGCUUUCGGGUGUCGCUGAUGGAUGGACCCGCGGUGCAUUAGCUAGUUGGUGAGGUAACGGCUCACCAAGGCCACGAUGCAUAGCCGACCUGAGAGGGUGAUCGGCCACAUUGGGACUGAGACACGGCCCAAACUCCUACGGGAGGCAGCAGUAGGGAAUCUUCGGCAAUGGACGAAAGUCUGACCGAGCAACGCCGCGUGAGUGAAGAAGGUUUUCGGAUCGUAAAACUCUGUUGUUAGAGAAGAACAAGGAUGAGAGUAACUGUUCAUCCCUUGACGGUAUCUAACCAGAAAGCCACGGCUAACUACGUGCCAGCAGCCGCGGUAAUACGUAGGUGGCAAGCGUUGUCCGGAUUUAUUGGGCGUAAAGCGAGCGCAGGCGGUUUCUUAAGUCUGAUGUGAAAGCCCCCGGCUCAACCGGGGAGGGUCAUUGGAAACUGGGAGACUUGAGUGCAGAAGAGGAGAGUGGAAUUCCAUGUGUAGCGGUGAAAUGCGUAGAUAUAUGGAGGAACACCAGUG
rnacentral:rRNA from 1 species